rnacentral:tRNA from 2 species
GGGCCUGUAGCUCAGCCUGGAUAGAGCGGCAGCCUUCUAAGCUGAAGGUCGAGGGUUCGAAUCCCUUCAGGCCCG